AAAGCUUUUGGCUUCUAUUGUUUUUCUUUCAUCUUCUUCUUUCCUUUUCUCCAUUUCUUUACUUAUUUUUGGAUAUACAGCCAUGAAGCAGAGUUCAAAGCACCAGCCCGAGCACUUUUGGCCUCGUGUUUUCAUGCGGAAAUUGCUCAACAUCGCUCCCAGAGAUUCCGAUUACAGCGCUGAUACUGAGGAUGAAGACGACAUUAGCUCUGGAUCCGAAGAAUACUUUGAAUGUGGCCAUGGCAGAGAAUCAAGGUUUAGAGACAGCAAAGAGGAGGAGCCUCAGCUUGAUCUAAAUAGUAAUGAAU